rnacentral:rRNA from 1 species
UACGGGGGGGGCAAGCGUUGUUCGGAAUUACUGGGCGUAAAGGGCUCGUAGGCGGCCAACUAAGUCGGAUGUGAAAUCCCCAGGCUCAACCUGGGAACUGCAUCCGAUACUGGAUGGCUUGAAUUCGGGAGAGGGAUGCAGAACUCCAGGUGUAGCGGUGAAAUGCGUAGAUAUCUGGAGGAAUACCGGUGGCGAAGGCGGCAUCCUGGACCGACAUUGACGCUGAGGAGCGAAAGCCAGGGGAGCAAUCGGG